rnacentral:rRNA from 1 species
UACGGGGGGUGCAAGCGUUACUCGGAAUCACUGGGCGUAAAGCGCACGUAGGCGGACCAGAAAGUUGGGGGUGAAAUCCCGGGGCUCAACCUCGGAACUGCCUCCAAAACUCCUGGUCUUGAGUUCGAGAGAGGUGAGUGGAAUUCCGAGUGUAGAGGUGAAAUUCGUAGAUAUUCGGAGGAACACCAGUGGCGAAGGCGGCUCACUGGCUCGAUACUGACGCUGAGGCACGAAAGCGUGGGGAGCAAACAGG